rnacentral:rRNA from 1 species
AGAGUUUGAUCCUGGCUCAGAACGAACGCUGGCGGCAGGCCUAACACAUGCAAGUCGAGCGCGCCUCUCAGCUUCGGUUGAGUUGGUUAGCGGCGGACGGGUGAGUAACGCGUGGGAACGUGCCCUUAGGUACGGAACAACAGUUGGAAACGACUGCUAAUACCGUAUGAUGUCUCUGGUUUCGGCCGGGGACCAAAGAUUUAUCGCCUAGGGAUCGGCCCGCGUUGGAUUAGGUAGUUGGUGGGGUAACGGCCUACCAAGCCUACGAUCCAUAGCUGGUUUGAGAGGAUGAUCAGCCACACUGGGACUGAGACACGGCCCAGACUCCUACGGGAGGCAGCAGUGGGGAAUCUUGGACAAUGGGGGCAACCCUGAUCCAGCCAUGCCGCGUGAGCGAUGAAGGCCUUAGGGUUGUAAAGCUCUUUCACCGGUGAAGAUAAUGACGGUAGCCGGAGAAGAAGCCCCGGCUAACUCCGUGCCAGCAGCCGCGGUAAUACGGAGGGGGCUAGCGUUGUUCGGAAUUACUGGGCGUAAAGCGCGCGUAGGCGGAUUGUUAAGUCGGGGGUGAAAUCCCGGGGCUCAACCCCGGAACUGCCUCCGAUACUGACAGUCUUGAGGUCGAGAGAGGUGAGUGGAAUUCCGAGUGUAGAGGUGAAAUUCGUAGAUAUUCGGAGGAACACCAGUGGCGAAGGCGGCUCA